rnacentral:lncRNA from 1 species
CUGGGUUUGAAUCGGUCCACGCUGUUUUAAGUUUGAACUCGCCUCUCACAAUCACAAUAUGCGUUCAUAGCUGCUCAUGUCCUACCUAAAAUCAUUAUUCCGAGAAUGGACUUCGAGAAAUUAAAUAGUACUAGAAGUCCUAAAUUUCGAAUUGAAGAGACGCGAGCAUGAGAAUCAAUUAAAUAUGUGCAUUAGAAUAUAUUAUGCUUGCAAAUUGAGAAAUUGCAAAAGGGAGAAUACCACUAGCGAAUCCAGUAAAUAUGCAAAUCCUCCACUAAACAAAUUAUAAACUUUACAAAGGAAAAUCCCUAAAACUGAAACUAUUGUCAACUCAAGACAAAGGAAAAUUCUUGAAUUCAAACUAUUGUCAGCUCAAAAUAAAGGAAAAUCUCUAGUACUCAACAAAGCUUUCAUGAAUUGAACCGGGUCAAACACCUAAAAGCAAUUAUUGAAAACUAAAACAAAAUAAUCUAAAAAUUUAAGCAUAAUUCAACACUAACAGCAACAAAAUGCAGAAACCCACUUCAAAUUUUCUCAACAGUAAACAAUUCAAGCAUCAACAUUGUUAUAACUUAAUUUAGAAACAUGACUUUCAAUUAAUUCUUUUCUUAAAAACAGUAAAACAGAAACAUAUUAUUCAAAUUGUAAGGACUUUAAAUAAUUUCACUCACUAUAGAUUAAAAAAAACAAUAAAAUAGCAACAAUGUCCACAUAUCUAAAUGAAUGUUGCAAGCUUCAUACUAUUUAUGGAUGAUUCUUACUUUACUUUUCUUACUCUUUUUUUCUGUGUUACGACCCUCAAAAAAUUAAUGUUAAUCGAACACCGGAACGAGAAGAAAAAAGAGGGGGGUUUGUUGCUCUGACCAAAUUGGAAACGACGAUAUGGCCGGACGAGGUUACGAGAUCUGCACUGCAGUUGGGUUUGGUGAGCCGCACGAAAUUGACGAGAUGGCCGGACGAAAUCGACGAGAGUGAAUCGUGCUAAGAUCUCAUGUUGUUUUGGCUGAUCAGAGUGUGAGGAGAGAGAAGAAAUAAGGGUUUCGUUUUGUCUUAGCUGUUCAGAGUGCGAGGAGAGAGAAGAAAUUUGGGUCUUAUUUAUAGGUCAGUUGGGUGAGUUAGAUAGCGGGUGAGCACCUG